GGAUAAAAGGUACUCCGGGGAUAACAGGCUGAUACCGCCCAAGAGUUCAUAUCGACGGCGGUGUUUGGCACCUCGAUGUCGGCUCAUCACAUCCUGGGGCUGAAGUAGGUCCCAAGGGUAUGGCUGUUCGCCAUUUAAAGUGGUACGCGAGCUGGGUUUAGAACGUCGUGAGACAGUUCGGUCCCUAUCUGCCGUGGGCGCUGGAGAACUGAGGGGGGCUGCUCCUAGUACGAGAGGACCGGAGUGGACGCAUCACUGGUGUUCGGGUUGUCAUGCCAAUGGCACU
rnacentral:rRNA from 2 species